GGGUAACGCUCACCAAGCCGACGAUCUUUAGGGGGCGUGAGAGCGUGACCCCCCACACGGGUACUGAGACACGGACCCGACUCCUACGGGAGGCAGCAGUAGGGAAUAUUGGUCAAUGGAGGCAACUCUGAACCAGCCAUGCCGCGUGAAGGAUGAAGGCGCUCUGCGUCGUAAACUUCUUUUAUAUGGGGCGAAAAUGCGGGAUUUAUCCUGUACUGACAGUACCAUAGGAAUAAGCACCGGCUAACUCCGUGCCAGCAGCCGCGGUAAUACGGAGGGUGCAAGCGUUAUCCGGAUUUACUGGGUUUAAAGGGUGCGUAGGCGGGACAUUAAGUCAGUGGUGAAAGCUCGUUGCUUAACAACGGAAUUGCCAUUGAAACUGAUAUUCUUGAGAUAAGUUGAGGUUGGCGGAAUGUGACAUGUAGCGGUGAAAUGCUUAGAUAUGUCAUAGAACACCGAUUGCGAAGGCAGCUGACUGGACUUUAUCUGACGCUGAGGCACGAAAGCGUGGGGAUCAAACAGGAUUAGAUACCCUGGUAGUCCACGCCCUAAACGAUGUUUACUUGCUGUUUGCCUUUCGGGGUGAGUGGCGAAGCGAAAGCGAUAAGUAAACCACC
rnacentral:rRNA from 1 species